UGGGGAAUAUUGCACAAUGGACGGAAGUUUGAUGCAGCGACGCCGCGUGGAGGGUGUAGGCCUUCGGGUUGUGAACUCCUUUUUCUCGCGAAAAAGGCACAGUUUUGGCUGUGUUGAUGGUAGUGGGGGAAGAAGCGCCGGCUAACUACGUGCCAGCAGCCGCGGUAAUACGUAGGGCGCGAGCGUUGUCCGGAGUUAUUGGGCGUAAAGAGCUCGUAGGUGGUUCGUCGCGUCUGUCGUGAAAGCCAGCAGCUUAACUGUUGGUCUGCGGUGGGUACGGGCGGGCUUGGGUGCGGUAGGGGUGACUGGAAUUCCUGGUGUAGCGGUGGAAUGCGCAGAUAUCAGGAGGAACACCGAUGGCGAAGGCAGGUCACUGGGCCGUUACUGACACUGAGGAGCGAAAGCGUGGGGAGCGAACAGG
rnacentral:rRNA from 1 species